GACGAACGCUGGCGGCGUGCCUAAUACAUGCAAGUAGAACGCACAGUUUAUACCGUAGCUUGCUCCACCAUAGACUGUGAGUUGCGAACGGGUGAGUAACGCGUAAGUAACCUGCCUGGUAGCGGGGGAUAACUAUUGGAAACGAUAGCUAAUACCGCAUAAUAUUAAUUAUUGCAUGAUAAUUAAUUGAAAGGUGCAAUUGCACCACUACCAGAUGGACCUGCGUUGUAUUAGCUAGUAGGUGAGGUAACGGCUCACCUAGGCGACGAUACAUAGCCGACCUGCGAGGCGGCUCUGCAACGCUGGGAUGGGAACACGGCCCAGAACCCUGGGGGAGGGAGCCGUAGGGAAUCCUUGGGAAUGGACGAAAGUGUGACCGUGCAACGACGGGUGAGUGAAGGAGGUUGUCGUGUCGUAAAGCUCUGUUGUAAGAGAAGAACGGGUGGGAGAGUGGAAAGUUCACACUGUGACGGUAUCUUACCAGAAAGGGACGGCUAACUACGUG
rnacentral:rRNA from 1 species